GUUUCAUUCUUUCUUUUUCUCAUUCUUAGUUUAUUUUUCAAUUAGAAAGUUUUGAAUGUUUUCUCUUAGUUGCAUGUUUGUUUGGUAAAUGAUUAUGUGUACUAAACUGUAUACUUAAAUAAAGAAGAGAAAUAGUUUUUUUGUUUUUUUUUGUACCUUACUGCAUAAAUAUUGAGUGUUAUUUUAUUGAGUUUUUUUUUAAUUUAUGUAUUAAAGUGUGAGUGUAUAUAUAUAUAUAUAUAUAUAGAUUGUAAUAAAAUGACCUUGAUAAUCUGGUUUUUUCUUUUCUUUUCUCUUUUGUCUAUUUAUCUAAUAUAAUGUAGGUGGUUUAUUUCAUUCCACAUUCAGAUAAAUAUAAACAAUUUGAUACCAUUGUUGGUUCUUUUUACUUGUAUGUUUAUUAUUUUGAAAAUUUCAGAAAAUUAAAUAAUCAUAAAAUCGAUUUUAUUUCGAAAAAACAUUUACAAAAAUAGGGAAUUCAAAAAGAAAUUCUAUAUUAUAAACCAAUAGAAAAUUGCCAUGCUAAAUUUCAAAGAUUCAAAAGUUGCAAGAUUAAUAUGCUUAACAAAGGCAUUCACAAAAAUUAUAUAUAUAUAUAUAUAUAUAUAUAUAUACACACACACACAAACUUUGAAACAAACAAGAUAAUUUUAUGAAGAUUUCAGAUUUUUUUAUUUUGAAAUGACCUUUUUUCUUUCUUUAUUUUUUAUUUAUUUAUUUAAAUUCUAAGUAGUCUGAAGCAAAAAAAAUAAAAAAUAAAAAAUAAAUUAUUGGCACAUGAACAAAACAUGAAUAACCAUGGAUAUCUCAUGUAUUCAAUUCAGAGCCAUUUCAAGUACAACACGGUCAAAUGAAGGUUGGAAACUAUGCAUGGAGAUAAUGGGUGGUCUUCUGCUACUAAAUCAAACCAUCUCCAAAUUGGUUAGAAGAAGAAGAAGAAGAAAAAAAAAAAAAAAAAAAAAAAAAAAAACAUCACUUCAAAAUUCUACAGGAAGUAUCAUAAUUAGACGUUCUCUCUAUGUGUGUAGGUAUAUAUAUGAUACAUAAAUUUUUUUAUAUUUCUUUUAAUUUGUUGUGGCCUUUUGAGGUCUUGUGGUAUUCCAAAAGACCUUGUGGACACAUGGAAUUUGCCCAAAUUAAAACCAUACAUACUUAAAAGGUCUUAUUGUGGGGUCAUAGAGUCCUUUCUUGCCGAAAAACAUUCUUCAGAGAAAUCUUAAUUUGAUUUAUAAGGUCUAUCCUGACCAACUUGAAGGUAAUCCAUAAAAAGAGUCUUCGAGCCGCAAGUUGUUAACUUCAGCAAAUUUGUGACUUGGUAUGUGGACUUUGUUUACCAUCUAUUAUGGAGUAUUGUAAAUAAGAAUAUAACUAAUAACAAAUUGCAGUUAUAUAAAUAGACUAGUCAGGUUCUAUAGAGUAUCGUUGCAAAUACUGGCCACAUACAAAUUAAAAUAGACUUCCAGAUGCUCUGUGGAUGUUGUGAAAGAACACCGAUAGAAAGAAAGUAUUACUUCAAGGUACUUCAAAAUUAUUUAUUGCAUUUCCAAUGAAUUUAUUUUAAAAGUAAGAAAUGCAAUAUAUGAUUUUUCAUCAAUAUGUAUUUUUACAGAUUUGGUGGAGUCAGUAGACCAAGAGUUACAUCAAAAGUACCCAACAAUUUCUAUUUAAUUGAAGUUUUGCUUCAGGAGUUCUAUUUCAAAUCACAAUUGUCUGAGAUUCAAAAGUGCUUGGAAAACCAACCUCUUAGAACAAAUUUUUUGAAGUCAGAAUGUUCACAACUGUAAAUUUGAUGUAUUACAAAUAUACAGAAAUAAAUAACUAACUAAAACAAUAUUCCUUUAAACAGUGAGUUGAAUUAAUUCUUUAAUGAAUAACAUAUUGUUGAAUACUAACAAAA
rnacentral:lncRNA from 1 species